GACGAACGCUGGCGGCGUGCUUAACACAUGCAAGUCGAACGGAAAGGCCCUGCUUGCAGGGUACUCGAGUGGCGAACGGGUGAGUAACACGUGGGUGAUCUGCCCUGCACUUCGGGAUAAGCCUGGGAAACUGGGUCUAAUACCGGAUAGGAGCCAUUUUUAGUGUGAUGGUUGGAAAGUUUUUUCGGUGUAGGAUGAGCGGGCGGCCUAUCAGCUUGUUGGUGGGGUAAUGGCCUACCAAGGCGGCGACGGGUAGCCGGCCUGAGAGGGUGGACGGCCACAUUGGGACUGAGAUACGGCCCAGACUCCUACGGGAGGCAGCAGUGGAGAGUAUUACACAGUGGGCGCAAGCCUGAUGCGGCGACGCCGCGUGGGGGAUGACGGCCUUCGGGUUGUAAACUACUUUCGCUAGAGACGAAGCUUUUGUGACGGUACCUAGAUAAGAAGCACCGGCUAACUACGCG
rnacentral:rRNA from 1 species